rnacentral:misc_RNA from 1 species
GAUGAAGAACGUAGCGAAAUGCGAUACGUAAUGUGAAUUGCAGAAUUCAGUGAAUCAUCGAAUCUUUGAACGCAUAUUGCGCUCUCUGGUAUUCCGGAGAGCAUGCUUGUUUGAGUAUCAGUAAACACCUCAACUCCCCUUUCUUUUUUGAAAUGGGAGCUGGACUUGAGUGAUCCCAACGCUUUUCUCACCGAAAAGUGGCGGGUUACUUGAAAUGCAGGUGCAGCUGGAUUUUUCUCUGAGCUAAAAGCAUAUCUAUUUAGUCUGCCUAAAAAACAGAUUAUUACCUUUGCUGCAGCUAACAUAAAGGAGAUUAGUUCUUGUGCUGACUGAUGCAGGAUUCACAGAGACAGCUUCGGCUGGCCUUUGUAAACUCGAUCUCAAAUCAAGUAAGACUACCCGCUGAACUUAAGCAUAUCAAUAAGCGGAGGA